UCAGAAGUAAGAAAUUUGUGUCUUCUCAUAUGGAAGGGAAAGCUAUUCUUCUUUGCCUUAUGGUGCUUGUGCACCUAGGAAAUUCCAUUCAUAUUGAUAAAUGCAAGGAUCUAGUUCACCCACAAAGAAAAACAUGCAAGGAUCGACUUGCUACUAUUGGCCGUCAGUGCAAUCUGUCAGAAUGCCAGGUGACCUGCAAAAAAUUGUUUGGACCGCAACUCAUAGCCUCAUGGUGUCUCAACGCCGUCCCAUACUAUUGGCAUUGUUGGUGCCGUGUCUGUUGGUAGAGUUGCACUGCAAAAUCAUGUCGAAAAAUGGACAAAUGAUGUGAUCCAAUAAUAAAAUCUUCUUGUGACAUGCAUCUAAGAAUACAUAAAGAUUGCCAAAUUUAGGUGCUCUAUUC